GGGGGAAUGGCUCAGAAGCAGAACUUCUGCUUGGCAUGCAGAAUGUCCCAAGUUCAAUCCCUGUCACCUCCA
rnacentral:tRNA from 1 species